ensembl:processed_transcript A630035G10Rik RIKEN cDNA A630035G10 gene
CACUACCAUCACACCACAUGGAAUGAGAUUUAAAAUUCUCCUACCCACUAGAGAUCAACAAGAAAAAUAGCUUGGCUUAAAAGAAUGGAUUUUUCAGCAGUGCACUUUGAGCACUGAGGCCGAAUCUGCUGUCGCCUGUGGGGAGUAAGGAGAGGCUGUGACUGGGCAGAGACCACCAGCGUCGCAGAGGGGAGUUGACUAUCUCCAGCCACCUCCAGCAACGCCCAUCUGCCCAUUCACAUGGCCCUCUGCCCUGUUCCGCAUGCAGCCUGCUUCUACAGGAGGAGACACCAAGUCAACUCACUACCUGACAUUGGGAAUCAUGUCUUAUGUUCCUGAUCACACGAGAGGUCUAUGAGAUGGCUACAGCAGGGAAGUGUGGAAGAUCAGGCCUCACUGAAAACAGCUCUCAAAGGUCAACUAGGGUGUGAUAACUGACUCUCAUUUUUUGUUUUUGUUUUGCUGUUGGUUUGGCUUGGUUUGAUUUUUCAAGACAGUGUUUCUCUGUGUGUAACCCUGGCUGCCCUGGAACUCUCUCUGUAGACAAGGCUGGCCUCAAACUCACAGAGAUGUGCUGAGUGCUAACUUGUUUGAUAUGACCUGGUGCGGCAGACCCUCUUGGAUCCCUUGUCUGUGUAGGACGGGUCUCUGGGUGCAGAUGAGCAAAGAGUCGGCGAAAAUGACAGACAGAUGCACACAGGAGAUUGUGUAGAAUCUGAAUGUACUUUGUCAAGUUGAGCAUUGAACUUUUUGUACAGAAGAAUAACAAGAAACCAGGCAAGAUACAUCCACUGAAUUACAGUGACACAAUACAAAAGGAAUGUAUACAUCAAAAGAAGGCGGGGACCAGGCCUUUGCCACAAGGAAGGGAGCUAGGUGUAAAGCUAGUGUAUUGUUAAGCCCACCACCAGGGGUUCUGCUCUAGCAGACCUUCUCAUGAAUAAUGCAAUACCACAACCCCCCUAUUUCCUGGGCCCUGAUAAAUUCUUAUAUGAGUUUCUCGGGCUACAAAGCAAACUUCACUGGAGGGUGCAUAGCAACCUGGUGUUUAAAAAAAGAAAAAAU